AGAGUUUGAUCAUGGCUCAGAACGAACGCUGGCGGCAUGCCUAACACAUGCAAGUCGAACGAAGCCUUCGGGCUUAGUGGCGCACGGGUGCGUAACGCGUGGGAAUCUGCCCUUAGGUACGGAAUAACUCAGGGAAACUUGAGCUAAUACCGUAUAAUGACUCCGGUCCAAAGAUUUAUCGCCUAAGGAUGAGCCCGCGUUGGAUUAGCUAGUUGGUGGGGUAAAGGCCUACCAAGGCGACGAUCCAUAGCUGGUCUGAGAGGAUGAUCAGCCACAUUGGGACUGAGACACGGCCCAAACUCCUACGGGAGGCAGCAGUGGGGAAUAUUGGACAAUGGGCGCAAGCCUGAUCCAGCCAUGCCGCGUGAGUGAUGAAGGCCUUAGGGUUGUAAAGCUCUUUCACCGGAGAAGAUAAUGACGGUAUCCGGAGAAGAAGCCCCGGCUACUUCGUGCCAGCAGCCGCGGUAAUACGAAGGGGGCUAGCGUUGUUCGGAUUUACUGGGCGUAAAGCGCACGUAGGCGGAUCGAUCAGUCAGGGGUGAAAUCCCAGAGCUCAACUCUGGAACUGCCUUUGAUACUGUCGAUCUGGAGUAUGGAAGAGGUGAGUGGAAUUCCGAGUGUAGAGGUGAAAUUCGUAGAUAUUCGGAGGAACACCAGUGGCGAAGGCGGCUCACUGGUCCAUUACUGACGCUGAGGUGCGAAAGCGUGGGGAGCAAACAGGAUUAGAUACCCUAGUAGUCC
rnacentral:rRNA from 1 species